GAUUGGUCCCCUCAAAUUAAAGUCGAUACCGAAUAUUGAAAAGGAUAAAAAUUAUGGGGUUCUUUGGUCAAGUGGUUCUUCGACCCAAGUCAAGUCCAGUCCAUCUAAUUUAUUCUUUCCCAUUUCAGGAUGGCCAUGCUGCUAUCCGAGUGCAAUCGGCAAAAACAAGUUAAAUGUCUGAACCUUUCAAUCCCGACUGAUUUACAAUGCACUUUUGAGUAUAAAUAAAUAAUAUUAGUCAUUAAAUAAUAAAUCAAAUUAAGUGGUUACUGGUUAGUGUUAUUUUAGUCCUUCAAAAUAAUUAAGAAACGAAACGAAUUAAACUCACUUGGGGUUGCUCGAGUGGUGUUGGCUUGGGCCCUUGGAGUAUGCUCCUCUCAAGGUCUCAGGUUCGAUUCCCACUGGUGCCAAUUUCGGUGGGCUAAGUCCAUACAGAGCAAAAAAAACUCUGGCCCGCAAGUGGGCGGUGGGAUUGGUUCCCUUGAAUUAGUCGGUCCUAAGACCGGAUACCAAAUUUUCAAAAAAAAAGAAACGAAACGAAACGAAUUUCUAUGAUUCUAUAAAGAAAACUAAAACGUACCUUCCAUGUUUUACACAGUUGAUUUCUCGUAGAACUUUUCUAAAAUUAACAAGAUACAUCUCAACUUGACUUAAACAAAACUCUUAACUAAUUCCUUUUGUAUAACAUUCAGGCAGUGAUCACAUGCUAGAGAUAGAGAAGAGAAAACAACACAAAAUUUUUUAUACCGGUUCUUUCCACAAACGAGAGUGGUUCAGUCCUCUUUUACUUCCAAGAAAGUUCACUAUAAUAACAACUGAUUAUAAUUGCCAAAACACCAAGUUAUGACUUCCUUACCCAAGUACCUAACUUAGGACUUCCUUGCUCAGGUACUACGUACAACUUAAAACAAAUUUAAGAAGGUUUACAAAGAUUGAACACUUGAUAUACUAUCAGAGGUGUUUACAAAAUACAACACAUGUUUUCUUGUAGUUAACCAAUGCCUCGAUAUAUAUAGGCAGAUAGAAAAAGAUCUAUUGAAAAUGACCAUUGAGAAGCUUGUUGGAACUUGCAAGCUGAUUUCUGCAUAGCCGUUUCAAUCUGGGUAAUAACCGUACCAAGCUUUGAUGAGGAGAACUAAUGUAUUUACAUUCCUGACAAAAGGACAACUGCUUCAACUGUUGUGAUAUCCAAGGGAGUUUUACGACGUUGUACUUUAUUCUUUCCUCUUUGUCAACUUUGAUGUGAACCUUUGAGACUACAAAUUCUGAUCUUCCAAAGACAAACUUACUCAGAGUUUGUUGUUCACAACUUCUAAAACUUUUCAACUUUUGAAGCAUAGCUGCCUCUGAACGUCUUAAUUAAGAGUUGACUUUCAGCUUCUCUUUUUCACAUGUUCAAGUGAAUAAUGAUUAACUCUUUCAGUCAUGCACACUUGAACAAAUAUCAGUAACAUUAAUUGUUCUUUUAUAUUUUGUUAUUAUCAAAACCAUUAGAGAGAUUUAACAAAAUCAAUU
rnacentral:lncRNA from 1 species